GACGAACCGUACGAACGUUAUUCGGAAUCACUGGGCUUAAAGCGCGUGUAGGCGGAUGGGAACGUCGGCCACUGAAAGCCCCCGGCUCAACCGGGGAAGCGGUGCCGGGACGGCCCGUCUGGAGGGGCGUAGGGGGACCUGGAACUUCCGGUGGAGCGGUGAAAUGCGUUGAGAUCGGAAGGAACGCCCGUGGCGAAAGCGAGGUCCUGGACGUCAUCUGACGCUGAGACGCGAAAGCUAGGGGAGCGAACGGG
rnacentral:rRNA from 1 species